rnacentral:rRNA from 1 species
AUACGUAGGGGGCGAGCGUUGUCCGGAAUGAUUGGGCGUAAAGGGCGCGUAGGCGGCUUUGCAAGUCAGUAGUGGAAGUCCAUUUUUCAAGGAUGGAAGUGCUACAGAAACUGCGGAGCUUGAGUGCAGGAGAAGUUAUCGGAAUUCCCGGUGUAGCGGUGAAAUGCGUAGAGAUCGGGAGGAACACCAGUGGCGAAGGCGGGUAACUGGACUGCAACUGACGCUGAGGCGCGAAAGUGUGGGGAGCAAACAGGAUUAGAUACCCUGGUAGUCCACACUGUAAACGAUGAAUGCUAGGUGUAGGAGGUAUCGACCCCUUCUGUGCCGCAGUAAACACAGUAAGCAUUCCGCCUGGGGAGUACGGUCGCAAGAUUAAAACUCAAAUGAAUUGACGGGG